rnacentral:rRNA from 1 species
GGGAAAUGUGGCGUUUAGGAGUGAGCGUGCCGGGUUCGGCGGCGGCGGCAAGUCCCCCUGACCGGGGCCUGUCCGUAGCGGGUGCGAGGCCCAUAGCCGCCGCUUCCGUCYCGGAUGCGAUCUCCUUGGAGUCGGGUUGCUUGGGAGUGCAGCCCUAAUGGCGUGGUAAACUCCACGUAAGGCUAAAUACCGCCGUGAGACCGAUAGCAAACAAGUACCGUGAGGGAAAGUUGCAAAGAACUUUGAAGAGAGAGUUCAAGAGUACGUGAAACUGCUCARAGGUAAACGGGUGGGCCCUCGAAAUCCUGUGGCGAGUGGAUUCAGUCUGGCUGGGCGGACGCGCCUGCGGAAGUCGGUAGGGCUUYCCGAGACGGGUGCCGUCCGCGGGAGCGCCUUCUGCCCUUCCAGACGCAUUUGUCUCUCGUCCGAAGGACGCUGCAGCCGGUCUGGCAGUGCAAGCGCGACGGCCUGAAGGUCGGGAAACCGCAGGUGGCCGGAGGCUGGCYUCGUGCCGGUUUUCGGUUGUUAGCAUUCCCGUCAGUGGCCCGUCGCCAGACCGAGGUGUCGCGAGCCCCCUGCCGGGGGCUCCACGUCUCCACCCUGAGUCGCUGGACAGGGCUCGGCAAGGGAACCGUGCGUUCGCCGUCGCACUCCUGCGGAGUGGGCGAAGGAGUACGGGGCCCCGUUAGCCGGGACGGACCAGCGGGGGAUCGGAGGCUCGCAGCGAGUAKGUCGGUCACCCACCCGACCCGUCUUGAAACACGGACCAAGGAGUCUAACAUGUGCGCGAGUCAAUGGGUCUUGACUAGGCCCAGGGGCGCAAUGAAAGCGAAAGRCGRCCGAGCGUCGUCCGAGUGGGGAUCCCUUCCCKUYWYGGGCGGGGCGCACCCACGACCCGUCCURUGCGGCUYGCCGCUUGGGCGGAGUSUGAGCGUACACGUUGGGACCCGAAAGAUG